AUAUAUAAAUGUGUUAUGCAAAAAAGAAGAAACAACAGAAAUGAACGACACCUUGUCGCACAUUCCUUUUAUCCCCCCUAUCCUCUCUGUGUGUGUGCUUUUUUUUUCUUUUGGUUGUUGAAUCAUCAACAAAAUGUAACGUGUAACGUGUGUGUGUGUGAAUAUACAAGAGAGAAAAAUAGUC
rnacentral:ribozyme from 12 species